rnacentral:rRNA from 1 species
AAUGGAGGAAACUCUGAUGCAGCAACGCCGCGUGAGUGAUGAAGGUCUUCGGAUUGUAAAGCUCUGUCUUCUGGGACGAUAAUGGCGGUACCAGAGGAGGAAGCCACGGCUAACUACGUGCCAGCAGCCGCGGUAAUACGUAGGUGGCAAGCGUUGUCCGGAUUUACUGGGCGUAAAGGAUGUGUAGGCGGAUAUUUAAGUGAGAUGUGAAAUCCCCGGGCUAAACUUGGGGGCUGCAUUUCAAACUGGAUAUCUAGAGUGCAGGAGAGGAAAGCGGAAUUCCUAGUGUAGCGGUGAAAUGCGUAGAGAUUAGGAGGAACAUCAGUGGCGAAGGCGGCUUUCUGGACUGUAACUGACGCUGAGGCAUGAAAGCGUGGGGAGCAAA